GACGAACGCUGGCGGCGUGCCUAAUACAUGCAAGUAGAACGCUGAAGAGAGGAGCUUGCUCUUCUUGGAUGAGUUGCGAACGGGUGAGUAACGCGUAGGUAACCUGCCUUGUAGCGGGGGAUAACUAUUGGAAACGAUAGCUAAUACCGCAUAACAAUGGAUGACACAUGUCAUUUAUUUGAAAGGGGCAAUUGCUCCACUACAAGAUGGACCUGCGUUGUAUUAGCUAGUAGGUGAGGUAACGGCUCACCUAGGCGACGAUACAUAGCCGACCUGAGAGGGUGAUCGGCCACACUGGGACUGAGACACGGCCCAGACUCCUACGGGAGGCAGCAGUAGGGAAUCUUCGGCAAUGGGGGCAACCCUGACCGAGCAACGCCGCGUGAGUGAAGAAGGUUUUCGGAUCGUAAAGCUCUGUUGUAAGUCAAGAACGAGUGUGAGAGUGGAAAAUUCACACUGUGACGGUAGCUUACCAGAAAGGGACGGCUAACUACGUGCCAGCAGCCGCGGUAAUACGUAGGUCCCGAGCGUUGUCCGGAUUUAUUGGGCGUAAAGCGAGCGCAGGCGGUUUGAUAAGUCUGAAGUUAAAGGCUGUGGCUCAACCAUAGUUCGCUUUGGAAACUGUCAAACUUGAGUGCAGAAGGGGAGAGUGGAAUUCCAUGUGUAGCGGUGAAAUGCGUAGAUAUAUGGAGGAACACCGGUGGCGAAAGCGGCUCUCUGGUCUGUAACUGACGCUGAGGCUCGAAAGCGUGGGGAGCGAACAGGAUUAGAUACCCUGGUAGUCCACGCCGUAAACGAUGAGUGCUAGGUGUUGGAUCCUUUCCGGGAUUCAGUGCCGCAGCUAACGCAUUAAGCACUCCGCCUGGGGAGUACGACCGCAAGGUUGAAACUCAAAGGAAUUGACGGGGGCCCGCACAAGCGGUGGAGCAUGUGGUUUAAUUCGAAGCAACGCGAAGAACCUUACCAGGUCUUGACAUCCCGAUGCUAUUUCUAGAGAUAGAAAGUUACUUCGGUACAUCGGUGACAGGUAGUGCAUGGUUGUCGUCAGCUCGUGUCGUGAGAUGUUGGGUUAAGUCCCGCAACGAGCGCAACCCCUAUUGUUAGUUGCCAUCAUUCAGUUGGGCACUCUAGCGAGACUGCCGGUAAUAAACCGGAGGAAGGUGGGGAUGACGUCAAAUCAUCAUGCCCCUUAUGACCUGGGCUACACACGUGCUACAAUGGUUGGUACAACGAGUUGCGAGUCGGUGACGGCAAGCUAAUCUCUUAAAGCCAACCUCAGUUCGGAUUGUAGGCUGCAACUCGCCUACAUGAAGUCGGAAUCGCUAGUAAUCGCGGAUCAGCACGCCGCGGUGAAUACGUUCCCGGGCCU
rnacentral:rRNA from 1 species